GAUGAACGCUGGCGGCGUGCUUAACACAUGCAAGUCGAACGGAAAGGCUCCUGCUUGCAGGGGUACUCGAGUGGCGAACGGGUGAGUAACACGUGGGUGAUCUGCCCUGCACUUCGGGAUAAGCCUGGGAAACUGGGUCUAAUACCGGAUAGGACCACAUUUUGGAUGGUGUGGUGGAAAGUUUUUCGGUGUGGGAUGAGCUCGCGGCCUAUCAGCUUGUUGGUGGGGUAAUGGCCUACCAAGGCGUCGACGGGUAGCCGGCCUGAGAGGGUGGACGGCCACAUUGGGACUGGGAUACGGCCCAGACUCCUACGGGAGGCAGCAGUGGGGAAUAUUGCACAAUGGGCGCAAGCCUGAUGCAGCGACGCCGCGUGGGGGAUGACGGCCUUCGGGUUGUAAACUCCUUUCGCUAGGGACGAAGCGUUUUUGUGACGGUACCUGGAGAAGAAGCACCGGCUAACUACGUG
rnacentral:rRNA from 1 species